rnacentral:rRNA from 1 species
GUGUCCUACGGGGGGCAGCAGUGAGGAAUAUUGGUCAAUGGGCGGGAGCCUGAACCAGCCAAGUCGCGUGAAGGAAGAAGGUACUUAGUAUUGUAAACUUCUUUUGUCGGGGAACAAAGGCGGAGACGCGUCUCCGGAUGAGUGUACCCGAAGAAAAAGCAUCGGCUAACUCCGUGCCAGCAGCCGCGGUAAUACGGAGGAUGCGAGCGUUAUCCGGAUUUAUUGGGUUUAAAGGGUGCGUAGGCAGGCUCUUAAGUCAGCGGUAAAAAUUCGGGGCUCAACCCCGUCCGGCCGUUGAAACUGGG